rnacentral:rRNA from 1 species
AGUGGACGCUGGCGGUAGGCCUAACACAUGCAAGUCGAACGGCAGCACAGUAAGAGCUUGCUCUUACGGGUGGCGAGUGGCGGACGGGUGAGGAAUACAUCGGAAUCUACUUUUUCGUGGGGGAUAACGUAGGGAAACUUACGCUAAUACCGCAUACGACCUACGGGUGAAAGCAGGGGAUCUUCGGACCUUGCGCGAUUGAAUGAGCCGAUGUCGGAUUAGCUAGUUGGCGGGGUAAAGGCCCACCAAGGCGACGAUCCGUAGCUGGUCUGAGAGGAUGGUCAGCCACACUGGAACUGAGACACGGUCCAGACUCCUACGGGAGGCAGCAGUGGGGAAUAUUGGACAAUGGGCGCAAGCCUGAUCCAGCCAUACCGCGUGAGUGAAGAAGGCCUUCGGGUUGUAAAGCCCUUUUGUUGGGAAAGAAAAGCAGCAGGUUAAUACCCCGCUGUUCUGACGGUACCCAAAGAAUAAGCACCGGCUAACUUCGUG